CAGCAGCCACGGUAAUACGAAGGGGGCUAGCGUUGCUCGGAAUGACUGGGCGUAAAGGGCGCGUAGGCGGCGGCCAAAGUCAGGCGUGAAAUUCCUGGGCUCAACCUGGGGGCUGCGCUUGAUACUUGGUUGCUUGAGUGGGGAAGAGGGUCGUGGAAUUCCCAGCGUAGAGGUGAAAUUCGUAGAUAUUGGGAAGAACACCAGUGGCGAAGGCGGCUCACUGGACCGACACUGACGCUGAGGCGCGAAAGCUAGGGGAGCAAACAGGAUUAGAUACCCGCGUAGUCCCUGUCUCUUAUAC
rnacentral:rRNA from 1 species